ensembl:lncRNA
GUAACCUUCAAUGAUUUUCUGUUUGAAUGCAUUCAUGUGCUUUAAUUAUUGAUUCAGUUAGGUUUUAUUUUCAUUUAAAUUAUGUUGCAGUAGUGUUUAAUGCCCUUCCAUUGGCAAUAGUGCACCUGCUGCUUGAUAUUUUACACGGAUCCCACAGUCACGGAGACGAGUUGUCUUAAAUAAUGAACUUGCCAUUCUCUGUAGAGAACAAGUGGAGGCUUCUUGGCAUGAUGGUGCUGUUCUUUGGCAGUGGAUUCGCCUUCCCAUUCAUUGUUGUCAGGCAUCAGAUCCUGAAGAAGUGAAGCUCCUUCCAGCCACACAUUGUCAGUGUGAUUCUUGUGCAACACAGCUCUCAGUUUCUUCUGGUGUGGAUCCUGUAAUGUUAUUGUAAAUAAAAUGACCAAUGACA